GCCGGUAUAGCUCAGUUGGUAGAGCAUCUGAUUUGUAAUCAGAGGGUCGGGAGUUCAAGUCUCUCUGCCGG
rnacentral:tRNA from 1 species